rnacentral:lncRNA from 1 species
UGUGUUUUGUUUCGACUUUUCUUCUGUAAUUUUUGCUUAAUCUGUUAACAUUUAGGAAGUAAAUCUGUUAACAGGGUAGAAAUUAUCUCUGCAUUUCCUUCAGUGCUUGUGUGUUGGAUAUUUCAAUCCCUUAUAGCUCCCCUGCUAGAGAAUUAGCAAAAAAGAAAAGUAAAAAUAAAUCUUUUCUUUUCAUUGUUAAGAAAGUAUUUUUUAAUACUAAAUUUAUAAAGAGGAGUAUUUGUCUUACUUGAUUUCUGUCAUUUGUGGAAUUUUUUGUAGAAAUAUUGAACUAUAUCUGAAGAUUUCAUUUCCUCUGGAUUCAAGCAAAUAACAUUAGAAGUUAAAGUUAAUUCCUUCUUGUCCUUAUUUAUUAGUAG